UGACCAAGGGGCCGGGACGUUCUGAUUGUUUCAGGAUCGGAGUGACCUAGGGGUACAGGGAGUGCCUCCGCAAGGGCCGGGUCAGGAAAGAG
rfam:Pseudomonas sp. MF4836 contig004, whole genome shotgun sequence.